rnacentral:rRNA from 1 species
UAAGCGACUAAGCGUACACGGUGGAUGCCCUGGCAGUCAGAGGCGAUGAAGGACGUGCUAAUCUGCGAUAAGCGUCGGUAAGGUGAUAUGAACCGUUAUAACCGGCGAUUUCCGAAUGGGGAAACCCAGUGUGUUUCGACACACUAUCAUUAACUGAAUCCAUAGGUUAAUGAGGCGAACCGGGGGAACUGAAACAUCUAAGUACCCCGAGGAAAAGAAAUCAACCGAGAUUCCCCCAGUAGCGGCGAGCGAACGGGGAGCAGCCCAGAGCCUGAAUCAGUGUGUGUGUUAGUGGAAGCGUCUGGAAAGGCGCGCGAUACAGGGUGACAGCCCCGUACACAAAAAUGCACAUGCUGUGAGCUCGAUGAGUAGGGCGGGACACGUGGUAUCCUGUCUGAAUAUGGGGGGACCAUCCUCCAAGGCUAAAUACUCCUGACUGACCGAUAGUGAACCAGUACCGUGAGGGAAAGGCGAAAAGAACCCCGGCGAGGGGAGUGAAAAAGAACCUGAAACCGUGUACGUACAAGCAGUGGGAGCACGCUUAGGCGUGUGACUGCGUACCUUUUGUAUAAUGGGUCAGCGACUUAUAUUCUGUAGCAAGGUUAACCGAAUAGGGGAGCCGAAGGGAAACCGAGUCUUAACUGGGCGUUAAGUUGCAGGGUAUAGACCCGAAACCCGGUGAUCUAGCCAUGGGCAGGUUGAAGGUUGGGUAACACUAACUGGAGGACCGAACCGACUAAUGUUGAAAAAUUAGCGGAUGACUUGUGGCUGGGGGUGAAAGGCCAAUCAAACCGGGAGAUAGCUGGUUCUCCCCGAAAGCUAUUUAGGUAGCGCCUCGUGAAUUCAUCUCCGGGGGUAGAGCACUGUUUCGGCAAGGGGGUCAUCCCGACUUACCAACCCGAUGCAAACUGCGAAUACCGGAGAAUGUUAUCACGGGAGACACACGGCGGGUGCUAACGUCCGUCGUGAAGAGGGAAACAACCCAGACCGCCAGCUAAGGUCCCAAAGUCAUGGUUAAGUGGGAAACGAUGUGGGAAGGCCCAGACAGCCAGGAUGUUGGCUUAGAAGCAGCCAUCAUUUAAAGAAAGCGUAAUAGCUCACUGGUCGAGUCGGCCUGCGCGGAAGAUGUAACGGGGCUAAACCAUGCACCGAAGCUGCGGCAGCGACACUAUGUGUUGUUGGGUAGGGGAGCGUUCUGUAAGCCUGUGAAGGUGUGCUGUGAGGCAUGCUGGAGGUAUCAGAAGUGCGAAUGCUGACAUAAGUAACGAUAAAGCGGGUGAAAAGCCCGCUCGCCGGAAGACCAAGGGUUCCUGUCCAACGUUAAUCGGGGCAGGGUGAGUCGACCCCUAAGGCGAGGCCGAAAGGCGUAGUCGAUGGGAAACAGGUUAAUAUUCCUGUACUUGGUGUUACUGCGAAGGGGGGACGGAGAAGGCUAUGUUGGCCGGGCGACGGUUGUCCCGGUUUAAGCGUGUAGGCUGGUUUUCCAGGCAAAUCCGGAAAAUCAAGGCUGAGGCGUGAUGACGAGGCACUACGGUGCUGAAGCAACAAAUGCCCUGCUUCCAGGAAAAGCCUCUAAGCAUCAGGUAACAUCAAAUCGUACCCCAAACCGACACAGGUGGUCAGGUAGAGAAUACCAAGGCGCUUGAGAGAACUCGGGUGAAGGAACUAGGCAAAAUGGUGCCGUAACUUCGGGAGAAGGCACGCUGAUAUGUAGGUGAGGUCCCUCGCGGAUGGAGCUGAAAUCAGUCGAAGAUACCAGCUGGCUGCAACUGUUUAUUAAAAACACAGCACUGUGCAAACACGAAAGUGGACGUAUACGGUGUGACGCCUGCCCGGUGCCGGAAGGUUAAUUGAUGGGGUUAGCCGCAAGGCGAAGCUCUUGAUCGAAGCCCCGGUAAACGGCGGCCGUAACUAUAACGGUCCUAAGGUAGCGAAAUUCCUUGUCGGGUAAGUUCCGACCUGCACGAAUGGCGUAAUGAUGGCCAGGCUGUCUCCACCCGAGACUCAGUGAAAUUGAACUCGCUGUGAAGAUGCAGUGUACCCGCGGCAAGACGGAAAGACCCCGUGAACCUUUACUAUAGCUUGACACUGAACAUUGAGCCUUGAUGUGUAGGAUAGGUGGGAGGCUUUGAAGUGUGGACGCCAGUCUGCAUGGAGCCGACCUUGAAAUACCACCCUUUAAUGUUUGAUGUUCUAACGUUGACCCGUAAUCCGGGUUGCGGACAGUGUCUGGUGGGUAGUUUGACUGGGGCGGUCUCCUCCUAAAGAGUAACGGAGGAGCACGAAGGUUGGCUAAUCCUGGUCGGACAUCAGGAGGUUAGUGCAAUGGCAUAAGCCAGCUUGACUGCGAGCGUGACGGCGCGAGCAGGUGCGAAAGCAGGUCAUAGUGAUCCGGUGGUUCUGAAUGGAAGGGCCAUCGCUCAACGGAUAAAAGGUACUCCGGGGAUAACAGGCUGAUACCGCCCAAGAGUUCAUAUCGACGGCGGUGUUUGGCACCUCGAUGUCGGCUCAUCACAUCCUGGGGCUGAAGUAGGUCCCAAGGGUAUGGCUGUUCGCCAUUUAAAGUGGUACGCGAGCUGGGUUUAGAACGUCGUGAGACAGUUCGGUCCCUAUCUGCCGUGGGCGCUGGAGAACUGAGGGGGCCUGCUCCUAGUACGAGAGGACCGGAGUGGACGCAUCACUGGUGUUCGGGUUGUCAUGCCAAUGGCACUGCCCGGUAGCUAAAUGCGGAAGAGAUAAGUGCUGAAAGCAUCUAAGCACGAAACUUGCCCCGAGAUGAGUUCUCCCUGACCCUUUAAGGGUCCUGAAGGAACGUUGAAGACGACGACGUUGAUAGGCUGGGUGUGUAAGCGCAGCGAUGCGUUGAGCUAACCGGUACUAAUGAACCGUGAGGCUUAACCU